rnacentral:rRNA from 1 species
UCCUACGGGAGGCAGCAGUGAGGAAUAUUGGUCAAUGGACGCAAGUCUGAACCAGCCAUGCCGCGUGCAGGAUGACGGCUCUAUGAGUUGUAAACUGCUUUUGUACGAGGGUAAACCCCGAUACGUGUAUCGGGUUGAAAGUAUCGUACGAAUAAGGAGCGGCUAACUCCGCGCCAGCAGCCGCGGUAAUACGGAGGAUCCGAGCGUCAUCCGGAUUUAUUGUGGUUAAAGGGUGCGUAGGCGGUUUGAUAAGUUAGAGGCGAAAUGUCGGGGCUCAACCCCGUAACUG